GAAUCUGACUUCACCCUGAUAACAAAAUUGUCCCUUUUUUCUUUUAUAUCAAAUGUUCUGCUUUUCAUCUUCUUUUUCUCCCUUUAUCCACUUUGACUAUUAAAAAAAUUAAUAUUUGUUUGCUUUUCUGCAUCUUUUUUUUCUUUUAAAAGUACUUCCAUGUGGGCAUGUGUGUUUGCGACAUAAAAGGCUAGAAGGCUUGAAAUUACCGGUGCCCCUUAUUGAUAGGGAAAGUCCACUUUGCACAUGUACCUUGUCAUGGAAGAAAAGUUUAAGUAAAAGUAAACAAAACAAAAAUCUAAAUACAAGCAAGAGCUUGUGAAUCUGUGAAAGACUUGGUUACGAGUAAAAGGAAGGUCUAAUACAUGGGAAUGGAAUCCUUUUUGUUAACAUUUUAAGUCUGUCUAGCAUCCCUGGUAAUCAGGGUUUUCUAUUACAUCAAAAUAUGUUCCAAGUUUUAAAUUAUUGACUUAAAAACUAAUUUAGGUAUCUAAAUUAUUCAUUUAAAGACUAACAUGGGAGUACAAGCAUUAGUAAACUGAAGGCUAACUACUAAAAAAUAUAUAAAAGUAAAUGAAAUAUAUUAUUGAUAGAUUAAUCAAAACCCAACUUUGGAGGGAGACUAAAAUAGAAAUAAAACAACUAAAAUUUGAAUUAUUUGGGACAAGUUUUAUGAAGCUGGGUUAAAUUUUGAUAAACUGUGCCUGCAUGUUCUACCAAAUAGAGAAAAAUCCCCGAGAGCAUUGAACAUCACCCAUUUACCUCUGAAGUCAAAACUGCCCUUUCAUCCAAUUCAACAACUCUGCAAUUCCCAAAGUCUACAGGCCAUUCAGCCGUGCCAUGUUUGGCUCAUGGACAUGGACAUGAGCUAGAGAGGAAAAUUCAAAAGAAAGGCAGUAGUGAAAGAGACAUCAUUACUUCAUCAAGUAAUGAAUGAAAGAAGCCAGUAGUAUUUUUUAAAGGAGGAUAAAAAAAUUUUAGGGAAUCAAAGAAUAGGUGCUCAGUAAGUGUAGUCAGGUUCUGCAGUCUUUUCAUAAGCUUUGGCCAGAAGCAACUCUUCCAGCUCUUGGGAAUGUAGGUUGCAGAGUUCACUCUGGUUCCCCAUGUACAGUCAAAUCUCCAAGUAUCAUUUCUGUCCAAGGGCAGUCUGUGCUGGCACACAAAAGAAUAAGAAGGAGGGGUAAAGAGGGAGAGGUUGGCUAGUGUUAAAGGGAGAGCUUUUCCACAGGGUUCUAUGGUUGCUAUAGUAACAGCUUCUUUUGUUUGUACAUAUUCAGAACAGCUGCUUCCUUUUGGUUUCUGGUGGCAGGGAUAUUAUAGAGGCCAAAAACAUCAUAAAGAAUGGUACAGGCAUUCGGAGAAAUGAGUUGAUGACAGACUGUGAGCUCCCAGGGACAGAAAGCGGGAGUUAAAGUGAGUAGAGUAAUGGUGACUUUCCAAUAUUUUACAAGAUUCUCUGAUCCAAACAAUCAGUAAAAAGGACAACAUAUAUUAUCACAUUCAAACCCAUGGCAAUAACUCUUGAUUUGAAGUGCUAUUUUAAUGGAACAACAUAGCUCCUACGUCAUGGUCUCCUUUCUUUGAGAGGAAGUUCAAGGAAUAUACUGUGAAAUACAAAUCUAAGAAAAAUUAGUUCACAGCCUUUCAGGUUGGAAGAGUUGUAUAAUGACUGCAAUAAACUGCAGUGUCUUGUAAAGAUGACAUCUCUAAGAUGAUGAAUACAAAAGGAUGUUGCCAUUAAAACUCAGCAUAGUUUCCAUACCACCAAGUGCUUCACUGUGGAGCCACAAAGGAUCAAAUGUGACAAUAUAGAUAAGGGGCCGGGACAAAACCCAGCACCUAAACGACUGCAAGCCAGCCAACACUGUUUAUAAGGAGAACUUCCCAUUGAAACUGAAGGAAUCAGUGUCUAUGAGGACUGUAAGAUUCUAUCCAGUGAGAUGCUGAACCAUCUACCUCAGUGCAAGGACUAGUUCCAGGACCUCUGCAGACACUGAAAUCCAUGGAUAAUCAAGUUCCUUAUAUAAAAUGGCAAGUAUUUCCAAUCCAUGUUGGUUGAAUCUAUGGAUGGAGAACCUGGGGACACAAAGGACUGACUAUAUAUUGCCAGGCACUGUGCGAGGCUCUGGA